CGCAGCUACUCUCCUAGGAGAAGCUGCUGAGACUGAAUUGGCUUCGUACUUUGGGUGGCUAGGUUUCCCUGCCAGAGGCCUAGACGACUAUGGUGAAGUGGGAAAAGCGGUUGGUUUGGAGGCUUUUGUUCUGAUCUGCGAAGCGGUGCCUCAGGGCUUACCCUAUUCUCCGAAUAUUCUAGAUUCCCACAUUCCCACCUUAUGAGAACCUCAAGGAGAGGUGUAUCACACGCUCGAAGGAGUUGAUUCUUCUCUUCUACCAUGUGGAUCCAAGGGAUCAUAUUGAAGUCUCCAGUACCGCGAACGGAAAAAACGC
rnacentral:lncRNA from 1 species